rnacentral:rRNA from 1 species
UACAGAGGGUGCAAGCGUUGUUCGGAAUUAUUGGGCGUAAAGCGCGUGUAGGCGGCUUUGCAAGUCGGGUGUGAAAUCCCUCAGCUUAACUGAGGAAGUGCGCCCGAAACUGCAGAGCUUGAGUACCGGAGAGGAUGGCGGAAUUCCCCAAGUAGAGGUGAGAUUCGUAGAUAUGGGGAGGAACACCGGUGGCGAAGGCGGCCAUCUGGACGGAUACUGACGCUGAGACGCGAAAGCGUGGGGAGCAAACAGG